rfam:Mus musculus chromosome 9, GRC primary reference assembly.
UCCCCUAGCAAUGGGCAAAGAGACACCUUGUUAGUGGUGGGGUUCUUCUAUCAGGCAGAGGCAGAGCAAAUGUCAGCUCUUUGAUCAUCCCAGCUUCAUACAGGCUCAGUGGCCAAAGCUGUUUCAUGCCUAGGACACAAAA